GGGCCCGCACAAGCGGCGGAGCAUGUUGCUUAAUUCGAUGCAACGCGAAGAACCUUACCUAGGCUUGACAUGCACGGAAAUCUCGCAGAGAUGCGGGGUCCGUAAGGGCCGUGCACAGGUGGUGCAUGGUUGUCGUCAGCUCGUGUCGUGAGAUGUUGGGUUAAGUCCCGCAACGAGCGCAACCCUCGUUCCAUGUUGCCAGCACGUAGUGGUGGGGACUCAUGGGAGACUGCCGGGGUCAACUCGGAGGAAGGUGGGGAUGACGUCAAGUCAUCAUGCCCCUUAUGUCCAGGGCUUCACGCAUGCUACAAUGGCCGGUACAAAGGGUUGCGAUGCCGUGAGGUGGAGCGAAUCCCAAAAAGCCGGUCUCAGUUCGGAUCGGGGUCUGCAACUCGACCUCAUGAAGUCGGAGUCGCUAGUAAUCGCAGA
rnacentral:rRNA from 1 species